UGGUAGCCGUCUGAGACUUGUGGGCAUACAAGGAUUAAUGUGUAUUUUGUAUUUUCAAACUGAUGUUCCUUCUUUGUAUAAUCCCUUUAUGUUUAUUGGUGCUGCUUCCUGUCUGUACUGCCAUUAUCUGGAGCUGAUGUUAUUAACCCUUUGUUGUGGUGUGAACUAUUGUAUCCCAGGAUGUAUUUCAUGUGUUUAAAAGUUCCUGCCCUGUAUAAUCCCGUUAUGUUUAUUGGUGCUGCUUCCUGUCUGCAAUACCAUUAUCUUGAGGUGAUGGUAUUGAUCCUUUGUUGUGGUGUGAACUAUUGUAUUGUAUUAAUGAAAUGCCUGAGUUAAUCUCCUUAUGUUAACUUUCCUUUUAUAUACAAAGUACUUUGUUUCUAGUGUUUUACCCACCCCUUGUUUUCCUAUAUAACCUUGUAUGCCUUGCAAUAAACAGAGAAUCUUCGGAUCUGUCAGCAUUGAGCGUAACACUUGGCAGCCUCUGUAAGGGCUGUACUUGGAGGCAGAGGGAUCAAUACAUGCCCUCCUAUCCAGUGGCUAAAGGACUCGAUGCCUACCCCAGCUCAGGUCAAACCUGCUACCGUCUACUGACCCUUCAGCCUCGCUCCAAAAGUUUCCCCUACUGAGACCAGCAUCCUGGGGGAGAUACAGUCACCGACUUGACCCCGGUCUCAGCAACGCUCCUUUCUGGACGAUACAUCCUGGGGGAGAGGCUGCUCCAGGUAUCCGUAUCGUCACAAUA